rnacentral:rRNA from 1 species
ACACGGGGGUUGCGAGCGUUGUCCGGAAUUACUAGGCGUAAAGGGCAGGUAGGCGGAUAGAUAAGUUUGAUGUUAAAGGCGACGGCUUGCCCGUCGUAAGGCAUUAGAUACUGUUUAUCUGGAAUGCGGUAGGGGAAGACAGAAUUCCUGGUGUAGCGGUGGAAUGCGCAGAGAUCAGGAGGAAUACCGAGGGCGAAGGCAGUCUUCUAAGCCGUAAUUGACGCUAAACUGCGAAGGUGUGGGUAUCAAACAGGAUUAGAUACCCUGGUAGUCCACACAGUAAACGAUAAUCACUAGGUGUCGGGUUCGAAGAGGAUUCGGUGCCGUAGCUAACGCGCUAAGUGAUUCGCCUGGGGAGUACGAUCGCAAGGUUGAA